CCCGCAGCGACUGCCGUCCGAACACGGCCGCAAUCGUUGACCUGAUGUCGACGAUGGCUCGUGCCCGGCCCAUGUACACGCGCCGCCUGUUGCAGCAAUUCGUCGAGACUAAUGGCUCACUCGUGGCUGAGAACGAGAGACGUGGCCUGGAAGCGCUCAUGAAACACUUCAAGAGGAUGUACAAGCGGCUGGUGCGCUCCCUAGACGAACAGGAGGCUGAAGUGCAGGAACUGGCGGACCUCCGCGCGGCUGGCCGAGCAGUGGGCGACU
rnacentral:lncRNA from 1 species